GAUGAACGCUGGCGGCGUGCCUAAUACAUGCAAGUCGAGCGAACAGACGAGGAGCUUGCUCCUCUGACGUUAGCGGCGGACGGGUGAGUAACACGUGGAUAACCUACCUAUAAGACUGGGAUAACUUCGGGAAACCGGAGCUAAUACCGGAUAAUAUAUUGAACCGCAUGGUUCAAUAGUGAAAGACGGUUUUGCUGUCACUUAUAGAUGGAUCCGCGCCGCAUUAGCUAGUUGGUAAGGUAACGGCUUACCAAGGCAACGAUGCGUAGCCGACCGGAGAGGGUGAUCGGCCACACUGGAGCGGAGACACGGUCCAGACGCCUACGGGAGGCAGCAGUAGGGAAUCUUCCGCAAUGGGCGAAAGCCUGACGGAGCAACGCCGCGUGAGUGAUGAAGGUCUUCGGAUCGUAAAACUCUGUUAUUAGGGAAGAACAAAUGUGUAAGUAACUAUGCACGUCGUGACGGUACCUAAUCAGAAAGCCACGGCUAACUACGUG
rnacentral:rRNA from 1 species